AGUGAACGCUGGCGGUAGGCCUAACACAUGCAAGUCGAACGGCAGCACAGUAAGAGCUUGCUCUUACGGGUGGCGAGUGGUGGACGGGUGAGGAAUACAUCGGAAUCUACUUUUUCGUGGGGGAUAACGUAGGGAAACUUACGCUAAUACCGCAUACGACCUACGGGUGAAAACAGGGGAUCUUCGGACCUUGCGCGAUUGAAUGAGCCGAUGUCGGAUUAGCUAGUUGGCGGGGUAAAGGCCCACCAAGGCGACGAUCCGUAGCUGGUCUGAGAGGAUGAUCAGCCACACUGGAACUGAGACACGGUCCAGACUCCUACGGGAGGCAGCAGUGGGGAAUAUUGGACAAUGGGCGCAAGCCUGAUCCAGCCAUACCGCGUGGGUGAAGAAGGCCUUCGGGUUGUAAAGCCCUUUUGUUGGGAAAGAAAAGCAGCAGGUUAAUACCCCGCUGUUCUGACGGUACCCAAAGAAUAAGCACCGGCUAACUUCGUG
rnacentral:rRNA from 1 species